rnacentral:rRNA from 1 species
UACGUAGGGGGCAAGCGUUGUCCGGAUUUAUUGGGCGUAAAGAGCGUGUAGGCGGCCAGGUAGGUCAGCUGUGAAAACUCGAGGCUCAACCUCGAGACGCCGGUUGAAACCAUCUGGCUAGAGUCCGGAAGAGGAGAGUGGAAUUCCUGGUGUAGCGGUGAAAUGCGCAGAUAUCGGGAGGAACACCUGUGGCGAAAGCGGCUCACUGGACCGCAACUGACGCUGAGGCGCGAAAGCUAGGGGAGCAAACAGG